rnacentral:rRNA from 1 species
GAGUAACGCGUAGGUAUUCUACCCUUAUGACUGGGAUAACAUUGGGAAACUGGUGCUAAUACCGGAUACACUUCUUUACUGCGGGGUAAAGGAGGAAAGGUGGCCUCUUCAUGAAAGCUACCGUAUAGGGAUGAGCCUGCGUACCAUUAGCUAGUAGGCGGGGUAACGGCCCACCUAGGCAACGAUGGUUAGCGGGUCUGAGAGGAUGAUCCGCCACACUGGAACUGGAACACGGACCAG